AUUGAACGCUGGCGGCAGGCCUAACACAUGCAAGUCGAGCGACCGGCGGGCGGGUGAGUAAUGUGUGGGAGCCUGCUUGAUGGGGGGGACUACCUACUGGCAUAGGUAGCUCAUCCCGCAUCCCGUCCGAUGUGUCCAGGUGGGAUUAGCUAGUAGGUGGGGUAAUGGCUCACCUAGGCGACGAUCCCUAGCUGGUCUGAGAGGAUGACCAGCCACACUGGAACUGAGACACGGCCCAGACUCCUACGGGAGGCAGCAGUGGGGAAUUUUGCACAAUGGGCGAAAGCCUGAUGCAGCCAUGCCGCGUGUGUGAUGAAGGCCUUCGGGUUGUAAAGCACUUUCAGCGGGGAGGCGUUACCCGCAGAAGAAGCACCGGCUAACUCCGUGCCAGCAGCCGCGGUAAUUC
rnacentral:rRNA from 1 species